GACGAACGCUGGCGGCGUGCCUAAUACAUGCAAGUCGAACGCUUCUUUCCUCCCGAGUGCUUGCACUCAAUUGGAAAGAGGAGUGGCGGACGGGUGAGUAACACGUGGGUAACCUACCCAUCAGAGGGGGAUAACACUUGGAAACAGGUGCUAAUACCGCAUAACAGUUUAUGCCGCAUGGCAUAAGAGUGAAAGUCGCUUUCGGGUGUCGCUGAUGGAUGGACCCGCGGUGCAUUAGCUAGUUGGUGAGGUAACGGCUCACCAAGGCCACGAUGCAUAGCCGACCUGAGAGGGUGAUCGGCCACACUGGGACUGAGACACGGCCCAGACUCCUACGGGAGGCAGCAGUAGGGAAUCUUCGGCAAUGGACGAAAGUCUGACCGAGCAACGCCGCGUGAGUGAAGAAGGUUUUCGGAUCGUAAAACUCUGUUGUUAGAGAAGAACAAGGACGUUAGUAACUGAACGUCCCCUGACGGUAUCUAACCAGAAAGCCACGGCUAACUACGUG
rnacentral:rRNA from 1 species